UCCCUUAGAUGUUCUGGGCCGCACGCGUGCUACACUGAGUGGAUCAGCGGGUCAGGUUGCGCGAAAGUGUUUCCUAAUCUUGAAAUCCGCUCGUGAUGGGGAUUGACGGUUGCAAUUUUCCGUCAUGAACGAGGAAUACCUUGUAAGCGCGGGUCAUCAUCCCGCGCUGAAUACGUCCCUGCCCUUUGUACACACCGCCCGUCGCUCCUACCGAUUGAGUGGUCCGGUGAGGCUUUGGGAUCUGAGCGGAAAGAGCGUUUCGCUGUUUCUGCUCGGAAAACUCAGUCGAACCUUAUCAUUUAGAGGAAGGAGAAGUCGUAACA
rnacentral:rRNA from 1 species